rnacentral:sRNA from 1 species
UAACUUACUUACAUAAAUCACACACAUUCCGUCACGUGUUCCGGGGUGCCCUACUUAGAUAGGGUCGGAGACAUGGGGGAUGUGGAGGCCUAAC